rnacentral:lncRNA from 1 species
GUUCGCCAAUAAACCCAAAGAAGAAGAAUCAACGCUGCCUGUUUGUGUUUGGAAGGCUGCAACCGGCUCCUUUGGCAAGGACCUUCUUGGGUAAACAAACGUCUCGGAGUUUUCUCACAACUUGAUGGCUACUUAUGGAUGGAAACUUGACCACACAACGUGACACUUGAUCUCAGCUGGCAGUGUGUGGCCUGUCGUUGCCUGCAGUGAAGCUCAGUGCCUGGAGCAGAGUCUAGCUCUUUCCCCCACCCUGGUGGCUCCUUAUGAUGGAUCGCGGUUGUAUCUGGUUUCUUGCAGCAUGGAUGAUAGAUUUGUUUAAUUCCAAAACCUGUAUGGAGGAAGUUUGACUUCCCUUUUCUCUGUUGAAUCGUAUCCGCUCA